rnacentral:rRNA from 1 species
UUUAAUUCGAUGCAACGCGAAAAACCUUACCCACCUUUGACAUGUACGGAACCCUUUAGAGAUAGAGGGGUGCUCGAAAGAGAGCCGUAACACAGGUGCUGCAUGGCUGUCGUCAGCUCGUGUCGUGAGAUGUUGGGUUAAGUCCCGCAACGAGCGCAACCCUUGUCAUUAGUUGCUACAUUCAGUUGGGCACUCUAAUGAGACUGCCGGUGACAAGCCGGAGGAAGGUGGGGAUGACGUCAAGUCCUCAUGGCCCUUAUAGGUGGGGCUACACACGUCAUACAAUGGCUGGUACAAAGGGUUGCCAACCCGCGAGGGGGAGCUAAUCCCACAAAGCCAGUCGUAGUCCGGAUCGUAGUCUGCAACUCGACUACGUGAAGUCGGAAUCGCUAGUAAUCGUGGAUCAGAAUGUCACGGUGAAUACGUUCCCGGGUCUUGUACACACCGCCCGUCACACCAUGGGAGCGGGUUCUGCCAGAAGUAGUUAGCUUAACCGCAAGGAGGGCGAUUACCACGGCAGGGUUCGUGACUGGGGUGAAGUCGUAACAAGGUA